rnacentral:rRNA from 1 species
GCCUCUUGGGGUUGUAGGACAUUCUAUACGGAGUUACAAAGGAACGAGGUAGACGAAGCGACCUGGAAAGGUCCGUCACAGAGGGUAAUAACCCCGUAGUCGAAACUUCGUUCUCUCUUGAAUGUAUCCUGAGUACGGCGGAACACGUGAAAUUCCGUCGGAAUCUGGGAGGACCAUCUCCCAAGGCUAAAUACUCCCUAGUGAUCGAUAGUGAACCAGUACCGUGAGGGAAAGGUGAAAAGCACCCCGGAAGGGGAGUGAAAGAGAUCCUGAAACCGUGUGCCUACAAAUAGUCAGAGCCCGUUAAUGGGUGAUGGCGUGCCUUUUGUAGAAUGAACCGGCGAGUUACGAUCCCGUGCGAGGUUAAGCUGAAGAGGCGGAGCCGCAGCGAAAGCGAGUCUGAAUAGGGCGUUUAGUACGUGGUCGUAGACCCGAAACCAGGUGAUCUACCCAUGUCCAGGGUGAAGUUCAGGUAACACUGAAUGGAGGCCCGAACCCACGCACGUUGAAAAGUGCGGGGAUGAGGUGUGGGUAGCGGAGAAAUUCCAAUCGAACCUGGAGAUAGCUGGUUCUCCCCGAAAUAGCUUUAGGGCUAGCCUUAAGUGUAAGAGUCUUGGAGGUAGAGCACUGAUUGAACUAGGGGUCCUCAUCGGAUUACCGAAUUCAGUCAAACUCCGAAUGCCAAUGACUUAUCCUUAGGAGUCAGACUGCGAGUGAUAAGAUCCGUAGUCAAGAGGGAAACAGCCCAGAUCGCCAGCUAAGGUCCCAAAGUGUGUAUUAAGUGGAAAAGGAUGUGGAGUUGCUUAGACAACUAGGAUGUUGGCUCAGAAGCAGCCACCAUUUAAAGAGUGCGUAAUAGCUCACUAGUCGAGUGACUCUGCGCCGAAAAUGUACCGGGGCUAAAUACACCACCGAAGCUGCGAAUUGAUACCAAUGGUAUCAGUGGUAGGGGAGCGUUCUAAGUGCAGUGAAGUCAGACCGGAAGGACUGGUGGAGCGCUUAGAAGUGAGAAUGCCGGUAUGAGUAGCGAAAGACGGGUGAGAAUCCCGUCCACCGAAUGCCUAAGGUUUCCUGAGGAAGGCUCGUCCGCUCAGGGUUAGUCAGGACCUAAGCCGAGGCCGACAGGCGUAGGCGAUGGACAACAGGUUGAUAUUCCUGUACCACCUCUUUAUCGUUUGAGCAAUGGAGGGACGCAGAAGGAUAGAAGAAGCGUGCGAUUGGUUGUGCACGUCCAAGCAGUUAGGCUGAUAAGUAGGCAAAUCCGCUUAUCGUGAAGGCUGAGCUGUGAUGGGGAAGCUCCUUAUGGAGCGAAGUCUUUGAUUCCCCGCUGCCAAGAAAAGCUUCUAGCGAGAUAAAAGGUGCCUGUACCGCAAACCGACACAGGUAGGCGAGGAGAGAAUCCUAAGGUGUGCGAGAGAACUCUGGUUAAGGAACUCGGCAAAAUGACCCCGUAACUUCGGGAGAAGGGGUGCUUUCUUAACGGAAAGCCGCAGUGAAUAGGCCCAAGCGACUGUUUAGCAAAAACACAGGUCUCUGCGAAGCCGUAAGGCGAAGUAUAGGGGCUGACACCUGCCCGGUGCUGGAAGGUUAAGGAGAGGGGUUAGCGUAAGCGAAGCUCUGAACUGAAGCCCCAGUAAACGGCGGCCGUAACUAUAACGGUCCUAAGGUAGCGAAAUUCCUUGUCGGGUAAGUUCCGACCCGCACGAAAGGUGUAACGAUUUGGGCACUGUCUCAACCAGAGACUCGGUGAAAUUAUAGUACCUGUGAAGAUGCAGGUUACCCGCGACAGGACGGAAAGACCCCGUGGAGCUUUACUGUAGCCUGAUAUUGAAUUUUGGUACAGUUUGUACAGGAUAGGCGGGAGCCAUUGAAACCGGAGCGCUAGCUUCGGUGGAGGCGCUGGUGGGAUACCGCCCUGACUGUAUUGAAAUUCUAACCUACGGGUCU